AUACGUAGGGGACGAGCGUUGUCCGGAAUUACUGGGCGUAAAGGGCGCGCAGGCGGAUAUUUAAGUCAGCUGUAAAAGGCAUGAGCUCAACUCAUGUAUGCGGUUGAAACUGGGUAUCUAGAGUGCUGGAGAGGUAGGCGGAAUUCCCGGUGUAGCGGUGAAAUGCGUAGAUAUCGGGAAGAACACCAGUGGCGAAGGCGGCUUACUGGCCAGCAACUGACGGUGGGGCGCGAAAGCCAGGGGAGCGAACGGGAUUAGAUCCCCCGGUAGUCCUGGCCGUAAACGAUGAAUGCUAGGUGUGGGUGUCGAGAGGCAUCCGUGCCGGAGUUAACGCGAUAAGCAUUCCGCCUGGGGAGUACGAUCGCAAGAUUGAAACUCAAAGGAAUUGACGGGG
rnacentral:rRNA from 1 species